GAGCACACCUGGCGGCGUGGCGGACGCCUGAAGUGUGACAGUGGCGCGCGCCCCCGCCCCAGAACGGGGACUCGAGGGACUUUGCCCACCCCUGCAACAGCCCUCCCGCGCUGUCUCCCGGGCAGGGAGAAGGCUGGGCUCCCCCACCUGCCCCUGGCCGUCAGGUGGCUGUGGAGAAGCGGAGGCGCGGGCGCUCGGCCUUAACGUCCCGGGCUCUGGGGCCAUCCGUGACUCCCACACGCGGAGCACCUGCAGUUUGGGGAGGGAGGGAUCUGGGAGCGAUCGGCCAAAGCCUGGGGCUGCCGAGGAAAUGGCUCUUCGGAAUUAGGGAUCUGAGAGUGUGAGAUUUGACCUUUGUAGGCUGGUGGCGGCUGUGCAAUCUCUAGCUCCACCCACUCCCUCCAAAAGCUUUGUCCUCUGACAGCUCUGCGAAGGUUUUAGCUGAGUAUUUGUGAGCACGUAUUUCUUUUGCAGUAUUUUUAAAAAUCCUCUUGAUCUGAGGCAACUUCGCUGGCUUCCUCCCCAUUCCCUUGGGCAGGUUGAGAGUGUUGGUUCCUGGCCUGACCUCAGAAACUCAGAGAAGCACAGGAUGGGCAUAAACUACUUUAUCCAAAAGGCAGAACUUUGCAAACACAGUCGUAUCUGCUGUGUCUUUUUUGAUGUAAGUAGGAAUGAUGAGUAGGGUGAAGUCACAGGUAAACAACCCAAAACGAAUUUCCAUGCCCUCCCCACGGAUCCUAAAGCAGGGACUGGAGAUGGGGAGAGAGGCUAGAUGUACUUGGAACAAAAUUCACCUUGUAUUUAUUACCUGGGCGCUGGUGUUUUUUGAAAAAAGCAAACAAGAUAACCAUAUUAGUCUGAUGCUGAGACUAUGCCCUAUCUGUAAGAAUCCUUGGGCUGGGCGCGGUGGCUCACCCUUGUAAUCCCAACACUUGGAGGCCAAGGUGGGCGGAUCACCUGAGGUCAGGAGUUCGAGACCAGCAUGGCCAACAUGGUGAAACCCCGUCUCUACUAAACAUACAAAAAUUAGCUGGGUGUGGUGGUGGGCGCCUGUAAUCCCAGCUACUCAGGAGGCUGAGGCACGAGAAUCCCUUGAACCUAGGAGGCGGAGGUUGCAGCGAGCUGAGAUGUCGCCACUGCACUCCAGCCUGGGCGACAGAGCGAGACUCCGUCUCAAAAGAAAAGAAAAGAAAAGAAAAAAAGGCAGGGCACAGUGGCUCACGCCUGUAAUCCUAGCACUUUGGGAGGCCGAGGCAGGCAGAUCGCUUGAGGUCAGGAAUUCCAGACCAGCCUGGCCAACAUGGUGAAAACCUGUCUCUACUAAAAAUACAAAAAUUAGCUGGGUAUGGUGGCGCACGCCUGUAAUCCGAGCUACUAGGGAGGCUGAGACAGGAGAAUCGCUUGUACCUGGGAGGUGGAGGUUGCAAUGAGCUGAGAUCGUGCCAUUGCACUCCAGCAGCCUGGACAACAGAGCAAUACUUGGUCUAAAAAAAAAAAAAAGAAAGAAAUGCAACGUAGGUCUCUCACGAAAUUAGCCCAAAUCUUCAGCCAUCUUCUACAGGCUGUGAAACCAGGAGAGGAAUUGAGUCCAUCUUACCUUGACCUCCCAGGCAGGGAGCGGACCAGGUAAUUUUUGGGUGACAAUACAACUAUUCUGUUAAUGCACCUUUUUCUUGAGGUAAGUUCUAAUGUGAUCCGUUUUGGUUACAGCUUUCUAUAACAGAAUAUUUUAUUCUUUCAUCUUUAAUGUUUCUCUAGUUUUCUCUUUUAGGAUUUAGAGAUCAUUCAGUCUCAUCUCAAAUAUUUCAAUUUCCAUGUGGUUCUUUCAUAAACAUUUAUCCACAGUGAGCCUGCCCUGCAUUCUUUGGGUGUGGCUGACAGUUGCAGCCACCCUCAGGUCUGCGGGGGUGGGUGUGUUGCCCCUGAACUGCAAUAGCAGAAUUUCUCCCUAGCCUGGCAGGGGAGUGCAAUCGUGGACUUGCUUUUCCACCCGCUGGGGUUGCAUUUCAUAGGUGCCGAGUGCCUGGGGGGCCCAGGCCUUUUCACAUGAGGGUUUUCAGCCCAGAUGUCCCUCCUGCUCUAGGGGAACCCUUCACAUCAGUCAGGUGACUUGCUGGACUGGUAGAGCCUCUGCCAUCAGCCUCUGAUGCAAAACCUUUUCUCAGGUGUCUGUGCGGUCCAUGGAGACCCGAGUUCCCAGGUUUGGGAGGGAUGCCACUUUCCUUAGGAAGAACAGCAAUGUAUGUCGUCCUUCCCAUCCAUGCAGAUGGGACAGGGCUCUCAGGAAAUCUGCCAUUAGCAUCGCCCUAGAAGAUGCACAGGCAGAGGCAGCUGCUGGGCACAGGCACUUGGGGAAGACAGGAGCCAUGACGCCACGCCACCUGUUGGUACCCAAAGGAAGUGGCUCUUUUGGCUGCUUGGCACCAUUCUUAUGACCCUUCCAUUUUGUUUCUAGUCUCAGAAGGGGUGGAGAAAGUCAUCCUUCCUAAAUGGUGUUGACUCUCAGACAUCUGACCGUGCCAGGAGAAUGGCUGUGCAAGGCGGCAGCCCAGGCCCGGGCAGGUGGCGGCCAGGAGUUGGGACCACAGAGGGCACUAGCAAGAGCAGCAGCUGCUCCGAGAUGCUUUGGCACAAGUCAGGAUACGUAUUUUGUAGUUUUCUCUUGUUUUUUAUUUUUCUGAGGUGGAGUCUCACUCUGUCGCCCAGGCUGGAGUGCAGUGGUGCAAUCUCAGCUCACUGCAAGCUCCGCCUCCCGGGUUCAAGCGAUUAUCGUGUCUCGGCCUCCAGAGUAGCUGGGAUCACAGGUGCACGCCACCACACCCAGCUGAUUUUUGUAUUUUUAGUAGAGAUGGGGUUUCGCCAUGUUUGGUCUUGAACUCUUGGCCUCAGGUGAUCUGCCCCCCUCAGCCUCCCAGAGUGCAAGGAUUACAGGCGUGAGCCACCGCACCCCACCUCCCGGCCUUUUCUCUUGUUUCAUUUUGGUAAACUAAAUUAGUUUAAUACCUCUACCCCAUCGGUGGUUGGAAUUCCCCACCUCAAUCAUUUUGGGGGCUCUCUGCCUCCUUUGAAUAGGACAGAUCUCCAGGGGUUUACCCAGGCUCCGAAGAGCCACUCCAGGCAGCCGGCUGUUUGGGGAGGUGCACCCUGGUCUUCUAGUCUGCGGAUUCCCUGCAUCGCUCCCCUGGUACUGCUCUCAAGCUCAAGGGUCACCUCAGCCAGAUGUGCCCUAGGCUGGCAGAGGUCCUUCCCCUAAAUGCAGCUGGGCAGGAUGCCACCCUUUCUACAAUAAGUUCGGUCCCAGGGAUUCCCCCAACACACACACACAUACAUUCUCUCUUACUCACAUCCUCACACACACUCACACACCCCACCACACUCACACACUUUCAAAAUCCACCGACUCUCACGCUCACACUCGCCAGCCCUUUCCCUUGCUCUGUCACUUCCCUCCAAGUCCCCGCCCCACACAGCCUCCUGCAGUCCCAGCCCCCUUGGUGCCAGCCAUCUCUGGUGCCAGCCAUCUCCCCCAAAUAUCCACCCUUCUGGGCUCCUUUCUGCCCAGAGGGACCUGAAGUUUCCCUAGGAAGCACUUGCUAAAGGCCUCCAGUCUCCAACUCCUGGGGAAGAAGGAUCCAGGCCUCUGCCGCACAAAGCCUCCACUGUUCUCUUGGGGCUGGCACCCCUUCCUGUGGCCCUGUGGCACCAAACAAAUUGAUUCAUCCAGCGAAUAUUUCUUAUUUACUCUGUUCCACAUGGUGGUGAGUGAAUCAACCCUGGACUCUCCCCACAAAGGACUUAAGAACACGCAGGUCAUGAACAAAUGAACACUUUUGCAUAAUUUUUAUGACCAACGGUGACCAGGCCAAGAGCAGGAUGAGGUGAUGGAGAAUACCUUGGCCUGGGGCAUCGGAGGAAACUCUUGCGAGGAUGUGCUACCUCCGUUGAAAGUGGGAAGAUGAGAGACCGGCUGUAAGAGGAGCAAGGGAAGGAGGUUCUGGAAUGAGAGAACAGCACGAACAAAAUGCCCGAGACAGGAGCGAGCUUGGCACCUUCAAGAAAAUAAAGAGGAGAAUCACUGAACCUGGCACGUGGAGGUUGCAAUGAGCUGAGAUCGCGCCACUGCACUCCAGCCUGCGAGACAGAGCGAGACUCCAUCUCAAAAAAAAAAAAAAAAAAAAAAAGGAAAGAAAAGGAGGCCAUUGGGAUGGCUGAGGCUGGAAGGGUGGACCAGGUGCCCCACAGGCAAGAGGUCCCAACUAUAGAUGAAGCACGCAGGCUACAGACAGGUCUUUUAUUGAAUCAUCUAAAUAUCACAGAUACUUAGGUCUGAGGAGUCAUCCAACAUCGUGUUUCUGUAGCUGGACAACUCUUAGAACCUCCUCAGCAGCCUGCGGAACUGUUCCUUUUUAGGAGACGUAGACAGCACCCCAACAUUUUCUGAUAUCCUUGUUUUUAACUAUUGCUGCUUGCUGAAUCAGAGCAGCUGAAUUUGAACAAGACUGAAACAAGCUCAAUGUCGCUUCCUUCAAAGAUUAAUUCGACAUUCUGGGCUUGAGAUACUGAAUAAGCAACACCUGGCCUCAUCCGAACCCUGCAGAUGGAUUUUCCACCCAAGAUGUUUCAGAUUUCAACGAGAGUCCCGUUCUCCUGGAUAACGACGUUUCUGGGGAAGUGAGCACCCACAGAGGUCAUCUUGUAAUGGAACCCAGGGCAACCCCUUUGACCAUGCUCCGUACACGACUAUGAACAGUCCCAACGGCAGCCGGCUCCCUUCAGUUUCCCCACCGUUUGUCAACCCGGAGCCUCUUUUCCUUUCCAAGGAGACUGAGUUCUACAUUGAUGUGAUUGAAGUCUCUCCUCAAGGCUGUGUGCAGUGGCUCACACCUGUAAUCCCAACACUUUGGGAGGCAGAGGCAGGCGGAUCACUUGAGGCCAGGAGUUUGAGAGCAGCCUGGCCAACAUGGUGAAACCAUGUCUCUACUAAAAAUACAAAAAUUAGCCAGGCGUGGUGGCACAUGCCUGUAGUCUCAGCUACUAGGGAGGCUGAGGCAGGAAAAUUGCUUGAACCCAGGAGGCGGAGGUUGCAGUGAGCCAAGAUCGCACCACUGCACUCCAGCCUGGGCGACAGGGCAAGACCCUGUCUCAAAAAAAUAAAAUAAAUAAAUAAAUAAAUAAAUAAAUAAAGUCCUUCCUCAGGGUUCCUCUCAGGCCCUUCCCAA